rnacentral:rRNA from 1 species
GUCCACUGAACCUUAUCAUUUAGAGGAAGGAGAAGUCGUAACAAGGUUUCCGUAGGUGAACCUGCGGAAGGAUCAUUGUCGAACCUCUGCGUAGCAGAACGACCCGCGAACAUGUUGCAACUCCUCGGGGGCGGAGCAGGGCGCGAGCCCGCCCGCUCCGCCUCCCGAUUGAGAGGCCUCGGGAGCCCUGCCUGUCGUCGUGCCUUGUGCAUGGGCCGGUGGGUGCUCUCGAUGGCUCCUCUCAAACAAACAACGAACCCCGGCGCGGAAAGCGCCAAGGAACUCGAACGGAGCAACGCUCUCCCCAUGCCCCGAUCCCGGGUGCCUGGGCGAGAUGUCGUCGUUUUCAUAAAUAUUAUAUAGAAACGACUCUCGGCAACGGAUAUCUAGGCUCUCGCAUCGAUGAAGAACGUAGCAAAAUGCGAUACUUGGUGUGAAUUGCAGAAUCCCGUGAAUCAUCGAGUCUUUGAACGCAAGUUGCGCCCGAAGCCAUUAGGUCGAGGGCAUGCCUGCCUGGGCGUCACCCACUCGUCGCCCCCCUCCACCCCAAAGCCGUGCGCUGGGGGAUGCGGAGCGGGGGCGGACAUUGGCCUCCCGUGGACGCCUUAGGUCCGCGGUUGGCCGAAAAUCGGUCCCGCGGCGGCGUACGCCACGACAAGCGGUGGUCUAACAAACCCCUCCCCCCAUCGAGGAGGAGAAGCCCGGAGUCGUGCGCGCCGCGUCGCCUCGGGGGCCCCCCGAUCGAAAGGCCCGACACCCUCGAUAGUGACCCCAGGUCAGGCAGGAACACCCGCUGAGUUUAAGCAUAUCAAUAAGCGGAGGA